rnacentral:lncRNA from 1 species
GGCCCCCAAACCGUGCACCCCCACAGGCCGCCGCCGCGGCUACUUACUUUCAUUUAACACCUCCACCAGGUCUGCGCAGUUCUCGCACAUCGUUCGGCCGCCGCCCCCCCCCUCCCCCGCUUCGGAUCGCAGUGACUGAUCCCGACCGGCGGGGGGGAGGGGAGAGAGGCGGAGGAGGGGGCCGGCCGGCCGGCGGGGCGGGGAGGCGACGAGGGCGGGCGGCGGCGGGGACGGGGCGGAGAGCAGGAGUAUGGGGGAGGGGGCCGGCGGUCCCCGGAGCGGGCGGGGGAGAGGAGGGGGGCGAGGGGAGGUGCGCAGGCCGGAGGGGCGCGGAGGCGCCGGCGGCGGGGAAGGGGGGGAAGGACGGGGGGGAGGGGAGAGGGAGGGAGGGGGCGGGUGGGGAGAGAAGCAGCAGAGUCACUUCACCGACCAGACGCCGCGGCCACCGCUGACGCCGCCGCCAUUUUAAUAGAGCGUUCGGGCUGCGCUCGGCUCUUUCCGCCCGAGCGAAGGAGCCGACGAGAAAAGCCUCGCGCUCUCAUUCCUCCGCCUCCUUCCCUCGCUUCGCCUCCCGCCCUCCCACCUCUCCCUCCGCACACACGCCGCACGCUCCACACCCCGCCGCGGCCGGCUCGCCGCCCUCCCUUUCCUCUUCCGUCUGGCCUCCCCGCCCUCGGUCCACCCCCUCGGCGCGUUCGCCCACCCCGCCCAGCCCGGAUCUCUGUCAGCGGCCGGAAGGGAAACACGAAGCCAGGGCGGCCGCGGGGGGAGUCCGAGCUCAUCCGUCCUCGAGCAGUAAGACACCUUGACGUGACUAGAAAUGGCGGAGUGAGGAGCGUUCACAUGGCAUCGCCUCCCUUGUACGCGAGAGGGCCCCGCACCAAUUGCCUGCCACUCUACAACUCUUCACCUGAAAUAGCACAUUCCUCUGCGAAGAGCAGAUCGCCAGGGUAUCAAGAUGGGAAACGGAGAAUGAAGAACCGGAAGGAAAGGGGACACUCCGCUCAAGUUGGUGGCAGCUAGAGACUCUGGUCUCUGGAAGGAAAGCCCCAAGGAGUACUUGUUACCGGUUAAAACAGUCAUGGUAGGGCUGAACCUAUGUUUGGGUCCUUGCCAGUGAAACGUGAGCAGAAAUCUGCAGAGUGGAUCUUUUGGAAAGAAUUGCCCAUUCCUAAUAAAAGAAGGGGACAGGGGCGCCUGGGUGGCUUCGUCGGUUAAGCCUCCUACUCUGAAACUCCUGAUUUCAGCUCAGGUCAUGAUCUUGUGGUCGUGAGAUUGAGCCCCGCGUUGGGCUCUGUGCUGAACUUGGAGCCUGCUUAAGAUUCUCUCUAAAAUAAAUAAAAUAAUAAAAUGCUUUGAGAAUCUAGAGUAUUGUUGUCAUAAAUGAUCAUUGCUCUUCAGUCACCACUUAAAUGCUCAACACACUUUUCCUGUAAAGAGCCAGAUAGUAAAUAGUUUUGGCUUUAUAGACAAGCCAACUUCCUUAUCACAACUACUCAACUGUUAGAACAAAAGCAGCUAUAGACAGUACGUGGUGGAAAAAGUAUGGUUGUGUUCCAAUAAAAUUUAACUUACACUGAAAUUUGAAAUUCAUGUUUUCAUGUGUCACAAAAUACUAUUUUUCUCUUCAUAUUUUCAACUAUUUAAAAAUAGAAAGCCAUUCUUAACCUGCAAACCAUACAGAAAUGGAACUGGCCAGAUUUGGCCUAUGGGCUAUAGUUUACCAACAACCCUUUAUCUACUUCAACUGCUUGUUAACAGAGAAAAGCAUAAAAGACCAUGAAAAACAAGGUUGUCUGCCUCCUAACUAGAAUCUUCACUCUUCUGUGCUGAUUUAGUAUCCCUAUCAACAAGACAUUUUAAUGUAUUUGAAAGUUGUACAUUCUAAAAGUAUGAUGAAGCAGAAUCUGCUAAAAUACCCCUAAAUCCUUAUAAAUCUGGAUUUUCCGACCAGUAAUCAGCAAUGACUAUACACCUUCAACAGCUAAGAUUGUUUUCAAUACUUUGUAUACAUGUCACCAUCUAGUGGUAGAAUCAUGCUUUCAGUAAAAUUAUACAAUCUAUGAAAUUUUUAAUUCUUGAGUUUUGUAAUAUAUACAUAGUAUAUUCCUAGCUCCUUACCUGAAAACCAGCCUCACGUAAACAGCUUUGGAAAACUAAUCUUGCCAUAGAAAUUAUUUGCCCUUCGUAGCAUUCUGGUUAUUACUGAAUACAGGAUUUUGUCUGGAGUUUGGCAUUAAAGCCUGAUUGUUACUGUCAGAGGCCAGAGUUACCGCAGAAUUUACUCUUGUCCCUCACACCCACACUUAUCCCUGUUUUGUGGGACUUAGGAACAUUAUUAGAGGCAAGUAUGCUAUUUUAUUCUUUCCACAGCACCUAGCCCAAUGCUUUGUGCAUAAGAUCAGCAAACUACUGUUUGGUUCUUAACUUGAUAGAGUGAUUGUUUUUAUAAAUAAAUUGGAUUAUAACACUUCCCUACCUAAAACCCUUCAAUAUUCCUGUUGCAUUUAGAAUAAACUCUAUUGGAGCCUUCCCUAACCUCUGUGGUUUCCAACCUCACUCUUGUUACAUUCCAG